UCAUUUCCUCAGCUCUAAAUCGUUGUAUUUCCAAGAAUUGUAUUAUUGGUGAACUCACAGAGAAAACAAAGAAACAAGAGGAGGAGUGACCAUGUUGCUGAGUUAAUAUGGGAAACAACCAAGAAGUGAAAGUAAGGAUGCUUACAGGGGAUCGCUCCUUCACUCAUGUUGGGAUUGUAAACUGAUACAACCACUAUGAAAUCAGUGCAGAGAAUCCUCAAAAAGCUAAAAACAGAUCUACCAUACGACCCAGCUAUACCACUCUUUGGCGUCUGCUCAAAGAACUCGACAUCUUACUGCAAAGAGAUUGUGAAAUGUCUGCUGGAGGAACACAAGACGCCUGACUGACAGCCACGGAACAGAAAUGAU
ensembl:lncRNA